AAGUGGGGAUUUGACUGUGGAGCCAAGCAGAGGUGGGGAGAGUGAGGAUCUCCCUGUAGCAAGAAGGAAAGUCAGCAGUCCACGGCCAGUAGCAACAAGAGUCAAUGAAAAGAACUGUGCCCUCAAAAGGUGAGUGUGGGGAACUUGGAGCGUGCUGCCACACAGCAAUCCCCGCAGAAUAAAGAGUUAAGGGAAGUGGGAUUGGAUGCGGCUCUCAGACCAUCAGGUGAUGUCCAUAAGAGAAAGGAUGAGUGCAGUUCCCAGUUUCCAGGCAGGAAGCAGACCACCGUAUGAUUCUGCUGAAGGGAUAUCGUUCCUCCUGUAGCCAGGGCUUUGAGAUUGCUGAACAUCGUGGGUCAUGAAGGUGACUUUGCAAGAAAGGCAUACGGAAUUUCACAUUUGGGAGAUAAUUCAGUGUCAUGAAAAAACUAUCAAAACCAGCAAACAAUGUUCAUUUUCUUCCUGAAUCUGCAAAACUCUCAAAGAGAAUGAAAGUCACUGGGGAGACGUGUUUGGAGACAGCUUGCCUAUCUCGGGACACCUGAAUAUCCUCCUACAGUUGAGGAUGAACGUGUAUUCCAGCAACUAAGUUCUGAUAUAAUCUGACAACAAACUAAGAGCUGGAUAGGAAAGAGUUAAGGAAGCGAGGUCUCCCAACCCCGGAGGAGGAUGAUGCGCUGACCCUGUGUCUGUCUUGCAGCAGGAAUUUGGCAGUAGAAGAGAAGAAAUUUGCUUACCAAAUAGAAAGGUUUGUGGAUGUUGGGAAAUAAUCUUUUUAGUUACCCUUUGCCUGGAGUCUUAUUUUCUCCACAGAGGACUAUCAAUAACCCCGCCUACUUUCCAUACCAUGGUCAUAGGCAGUCUCAACCAUAAACAGAGGAAGGGGAAAGCUUAUGGUAUCCUUGGAAGUUCCCAAAUGUUCAACUGCUCAAAAAUAGCCCCAUUGUGGUAACAGAAAAACCUAACACUGGAUGUGCCUCCUUCUGGGUUUGGGCGAGACACUGUGUAUCCAAGAAGCAUCUGCUGAAAACCAGAAUAGCAGCCACCGCAGAAAUAAAUACUCCCUGAUGAAACCCAACAGUUCCAUCUACUAAUAUUUUUAUUAUCCAAUUUUUUAUGUUCCUGGAUUAGUUGUCUAGUCACAAGGCCUGGGGGAUUGGGAUCUUAAAAAAUAAAUCAUGAUGGUGGAAAAAGUCAGAGACUAUUAAAACUAUGGAGCACUUGUGCUACGCAGAAUUUCUUGGUAUGGAGUAUGUAGUCCAGAAAGCUACUCCUACUGAAAACUCAUCGUUACCAGACGCGUGGAGAUGUCUCCGUAUUUUCUCUUGGACACAUUACAGGCCUAUGGUCGCCUAAGAAACUAUCAGGGUGACAUUUACCUUGGCGUGCCUUUCCCCAAAGUAUUGUCUGAGGAAAUAAAUUCUGUGAGCUACUCUGAAAUACAAGAAUUUUGGAGUCACGUAAGUUUAUUUCUAUAUUGUAUCCCAUUAUUAAAA
rnacentral:lncRNA from 1 species